rnacentral:lncRNA from 1 species
UACAUAUACCUCUCCCAGGGCUUGACAAUUAACCCAACAUUUUCUUUUCAGGAUCCACUAAAGAUGUCAUCACCCCCCAGACAGCAGGAAGUAAAUUUAAGAAUAUGAUGCCCACAUCCCCAAGAGUGGGUGAGUUUUGGUUUAUGGAAAUUUGUCAUUGUUUAGGAUAUUUGGUUAAAAGUUGUUUCUGGUAAUGGUCAGGAAAAAAGCUAAACAAAGGAGAUUGGAUUCAGGGUUCUUGUUUUAAAAAGAAAAAAAAAGGGAUACAGAUAUGGUAGGAUAAAGUGGUGUAUCAUUGGAUCCACUCUGAAAAGAAAAAAAGGGGUGUAUAUAUGAUAUAAUAAAUAGGUAGAUUGUUGAAUUUACUUCAAAAAACUACUAGUUUUAAAUAUUUCGCAUUGCUUUAGGUUUUUUAUAUUGAUACAAAGUUGAGAUUAUUUUUUUAGAACAAACUUUACGUACAUUUCUAAUCUUGUUCAAGUUGUGGUACAUAUACAACUCAUUUAAUAAUGUAAUCAAGAUUUUUAGCCCUUGAAAGUUAUUAUUACCAACUCUAUAAGAUAAUAAGGAAAUGCAUUUUAACAGUUAGUUACCUGUUACAAUCAUUUUAGGUGUGCUCUCAAGGUGAAUGGAGACAUAUUUUACAUAAAUAGGUCAUCUUCAAACACUACAAAAAUCUGAAGAAUAUAGCAUUUAAGAUUUUUUAAUAACAUCAGUUCUUUCUUUUUUUAUGACAAUGAGACAUAUCUGUUCCUGGCAGCACCAAUCUACUUUGGAGAAGAUUGUGGACAUCAAAGAAAAUCCAUAUGGAGUUUAUUUUCUUUUGCACAAAUGUUAGCCACUAUCAAGAAACUACUCUUGCCUUGACCGCCAACAAUAUGCUGUCAAAACUGGACAAGAAGGACACAAAACAAAGGACUGCUGAACUUUGCCAAGACAAAAUAGGACAUCCCUUGAGAAUAUCCUACUUCACAUACAAAUCUGUCAGAUAUGCUAUACCUGUAGGUCAAAUAUGGAUGCCCCAAAAUUGCAGGGGAACGUUGGGUGACUGCCAGGCAGUCAGCUGUUUCUGCCAUAUCUCACACAUCAAGAAGUACAAGCAAGCUGAGGAGUUAGUAAGGACAUUGAAAAAUCUUAUCAUUUGGAAAAGUUUCUGCCUAUUUGCUUGCUUAUAUGAUUGGUGUAACAUUGCCUGUUUCUUUAUAGAGAAUGUUUUUCUUUUCCUGAUUUAAUCUUGUACCCAACUAACAUUACACAGACUGAACACGUUGUAUUUGUGUAUUUACAAAAAUAUAUUUACAUGCAUACAUACUUUUGUAAUAAAAAUAAUAAAAUGCCAUAAAU